UUUGAGCAUGUGUAAUGGCAUGAAUGUGUUGAAUUAGUAAUCCCUUUGUUAAGCUGUUGUUUUAGUGUUCUUUUGAUGAGUUUGGCUUGUUGUUAUGAAAAGUGUUUGUUUUGGCGAGUUUGAACGUUUUUGAGCAUGUGUAAUGGCAUGAAUGUUUUGAAUUAGUAAUCCCUUGUGUUAAGCUGUUGUUUUAGUGUUCUUUUGAUGAGUUUGGCUUGUUGUUAUGAAAAGUGUUUGUUUUGGCGAGUUUGAACGUUUUUGAGCAUGUGUAAUGGCAUGAAUGCGUUAAGCUGUUGUUUUUGUGUUCUUUUGAUGAGUUUGGCUUGUUGUUAUGAAAAGUGUUUGUUUUGGCGAGUUUGAAC